AUCCUGGCUCAGGACGAACGCUGGCGGCGUGCUUAACACAUGCAAGUCGAACGAUGAACCACUUCGGUGGGGAUUAGUGGCGAACGGGUGAGUAACACGUGGGCAAUCUGCCCUGCACUCUGGGACAAGCCCUGGAAACGGGGUCUAAUACCGGAUACGAGCCUCCUCCGCAUGGUGGAGGUUGGAAAGCUCCGGCGGUGCAGGAUGAGCCCGCGGCCUAUCAGCUUGUUGGUGAGGUAACGGCUCACCAAGGCGACGACGGGUAGCCGGCCUGAGAGGGCGACCGGCCACACUGGGACUGAGACACGGCCCAGACUCCUACGGGAGGCAGCAGUGGGGAAUAUUGCACAAUGGGCGCAAGCCUGAUGCAGCGACGCCGCGUGAGGGAUGACGGCCUUCGGGUUGUAAACCUCUUUCAGCAGGGAAGAAGCGCAAGUGACGGUACCUGCAGAAGAAGCGCCGGCUAACUACGUGCCAGCAGCCGCGGUAAUACGUAGGGCGCGAGCGUUGUCCGGAAUUAUUGGGCGUAAAGAGCUCGUAGGCGGCUUGUCGCGUCGGAUGUGAAAGCCCGGGGCUUAACCCCGGGUCUGCAUUCGAUACGGGCAGGCUAGAGUUCGGUAGGGGAGAUCGGAAUUCCUGGUGUAGCGGUGAAAUGCGCAGAUAUCAGGAGGAACACCGGUGGCGAAGGCGGAUCUCUGGGCCGAUACUGACGCUGAGGAGCGAAAGCGUGGGGAGCGAACAGGAUUAGAUACCCUGGUAGUCCACGCCGUAAACGGUGGGCACUAGGUGUGGGCGACAUUCCACGUCGUCCGUGCCGCAGCUAACGC
rnacentral:rRNA from 1 species